rnacentral:rRNA from 1 species
AACGAACGCUGGCGGCAGGCCUAACACAUGCAAGUCGAGCGGCCGUAGCAAUACGGCAGCGGCAGACGGGAGAGUAACACGUGGGAACGCGCCCUUCGGUUCGGAAUAACUCAGGGAAACUUGGGCUAAUACCGGAUACGCCCUUACGGGGAAAGAUUUAUUGCCGAAGGAACGGCCCGCGUCCGAUUAGCUUGUUGGUGAGGUAACGGCUCACCAAGGCGACGAUCGGUAGCUGGCCUGAGAGGAUGACCAGCCUCACUGGGACUGAGACACGGCCCAGACUCCUACGGGAGGCAGCAGUGGGGAAUAUUGGACAAUGGGCGAAAGCCUGAUCCAGCCAUGCCGCGUGUGUGAUGAAGGCCUUAGGGUUGUAAAGCACUUUUGUCCGGGAAGAUAAUGACUGUACCGGAAGAAUAAGCCCCGGCUAACUUCGUGCCAGCAGCCGCAGUAACAC